CCGACCUGUAACCGAAUAUUCUUUGUUGUACCAGCGGUAGUUGUUUUUUUUACAACGUUUUUUUUCUACGAAGUUGCAGUUACGUUUUUAAUAUGAGUGCUGGACCAAGCACCAAGAAACCGAAAAUCUACCACUUUCACAGUUAGUGGGAGGAAGAUUAUGGAUCUACCAACCGUUGCGAGUCAGUAUUUUGAGACUUGAGGAUCAUCAAAUCAAAAUACCGGUUCACUCUAACAGAUGAUCACCUGGACACCUGCUUGAGGAAAUCCUGGAUCGUCGUAUGGGGUUGGGAUUCUCUGUGGCACUGUUCACUGCAAACAGGACACAUACGUUCGUCCAAGGGAGCAUUGGAGUACAAUUAUGGAAACAGGGAUGCACCCACAAGGUUUUCCUGUCCCUUCGUUGGCGAAUGGAGAUAAUCGUCAUGUGGCUCCUGGUUGACAACUGGCCAGCCAUGUCCAGCAUCACCUCCAAAGUCUUCCGUCACAUCCCACACCAGCACUCCAGGGAAAUUAGGGAGAAGAGCAACAUUGUACGUAGACGGUUCAAAGCAUGUGUUCAAAGACUAUGAAAAUGAACAAUCAUGCCAUCUUACAGUUUCACCAAUUAUUCAUACUUUUCAUAAUUUAAUCAUAAAUGCUGUUGGAUUUUGUCCCUUUCUUUACAUGGUGUUUUGCAGGUCAACUUUGGUGUGUUUAAUAUAUUUGUUACAGUUUAGCCACCAUGCUCUGUGGGGUGUUUGGGGUGGACACAAUCCCCCCAGGCUUUCCAAAAGGGCUGGACAACCAUGCAAGUGGAUUGGCUCCAAGCACUCUUCAGAAGAAUGGUGGACUUAAGUUGGAAGCCACCGAAUCAGGAGCAGAUCAACAUCGCAGCACAGGAUGCCACAGAGGAGUCUUGUCUUCUGCAAAUGUCUUGAAGACAAGGCCGAGCCCAUGGUCCAGUGCUGCAGUCUAGCCUGUACAGAACGCUGGUUCCACCUGUCCUGUGCCGAACUAGAAAC